rnacentral:rRNA from 1 species
CUUACACCUGAAAAAUAUCUGCUAACACCAGAUCGUCUUGAUGCCAAACUCUAGCCCAACCGACAUGACCUGGAAUAACAAAGCUACUCAACCAACCCAACUAAAGCAUUUACUAGUCCCAGUAUAGGCGAUAGAAAAGACACCUUUGGAGCGAUAGAGACUACGUACCGUAAGGGAAAGAUGAAAUAUUAGUGAAAUAAACUAAGCUAAAAACAGCAAAGAUCAACCCUUGUACCUUUUGCAUCAUGGUCUAGCAAGAAAAACCAAGCAAAAUGAAUUUAAGUUUGCCUUCCCGAAACCCAAGCGAGCUACUUACGAGCAGCUAUUUUGAGCGCACCCGUCUCUGUGGCAAAAGAGUGGGAUGACUUGUUAGUAGAGGUGAAAAGCCAAUCGAGCUGGGUGAUAGCUGGUUGCCUGUGAAACGAAUUUUAGUUCACUCUUAAUUCUUCUCCAAGGAAAAUACACGAACCCUAAUGAAGCGAAUUAAGGGCUAUUUAAAGGAGGUACAGCUCCUUUAAAAAAGAAUACAAUCUCUACGAGCGGAUAAGUACUAAACCCCUAAUCAUACUGUGGGCCCUCAAGCAGCCAUCAACAAAGAGUGCGUUAAAGCUCUACCCUACAAAAAUAUAUGAACAAUAUGACUCCCUCAUCAUUAACAGGCUAACCUAUAUUUAAAUAGGAGAAUUAAUGCUAGAAUGAGUAACCUGGGGUCCUCCCUCUACGACGCAAGCUUACAUCGGCACAUUAUUAACAAAUCACCAAUAUACGACAAAUCAAACAAGCAGAGUAUUAUGCACAUUGUUAACCCGACAGAGGAGCGUCU